CACCCACAGCAAUGGCCAAAGGCACAUUUUGUUGGUGUUGUUGAUCUUAUAUCAGUCAAGGGCAAAGCAGAUGGAAGCUCUUUGUUUAUCCUGUCCUGAUGCCUGACUUAAUGGCCAACACCAUUUUAUGCCUAGGACACAUUA